AUUAUUCCUCAUUUUAACCCCAUACAAAACACAUGCCCUCUACCUCCCCCGCUCCCAGUGCUUGGCGGGCCUCCCUGUGGUCUGAGGUUGACCCCAUGCCCUGGCCACAGCUCCUCAGGUUCCUUGCCUGAUUUUCAAAAGCAAGAAGGAGAAAGACAUGCCAGCCUAGGAUCACAGAGAUCUCCAAACCCAGGAGCUCCACCGGUGUGGCCCCCAACUGCACGCGGAGCGAAGUCAGACUCUGGGGCUGGGACUUGGCCUCCAGGGCUCCCCGGGGUAGCAGGUGGAAAAGCGACUGUAAAGUGGUGGCGAGUGGGUCUCGCCAUCCUCACGGCUCUGUUUUUGGAGGUGGGGGCAGAAGACAGCUCUGCUCCCCGCUUCCACUUCUGCCCUCCUCCCCACAGCACAGGUGCUGGGCGCCCUCAGAUCUCCUCCUUACUGCUGUGGCGAGACGUUCAGUGGGCUCCUCUCUUGCCUGCCCAGGGACCAGUUUGGAACUUUCGCUCUGGGCUUCAGCUGCCUGGCCCUCCUCCCUCCUUCCCCGGUAAUGCUCGUAGGAAUGGAGGAAGGAUGGUGGUCCCUGGCUCUGUGCUCUGGGAGACCUGCUGUGGCCCCCGGGUCAGGGGAAGUCCCUCAGCCUCUCUGAGCCCCAGGCCCUCAUCAGCGGCGGGAGCAGAGGAGGCGGGGGUGGGGAGGGGUAAGAGGAUGCGCACAAGCUCAUUCUGGAGAAUCUGUUUAUCCCUGGCAGCUCCCUGGAGGGUGGGACCUCCUCUCCUUCAUUUUUCGAUUGGGUUAGAGGAGUCCCUGCCGUGUUCUCAUGGAAAUGCCCGGCUAUUGUUUGCCAAACCAGUUAUUAUUAAAGCUUAUUUCUCAAGGAGGAAAAGGACCAAGCCGUUCUCCAGCCGGGGUAUCUCUGGGUUAACUGGGAGCGCAGUGCAGGCUCUGACUCAGCCACUGCCUCCUGCUGGGGGGUUUCAGAAGCAGCCCAGGUUUCUGAAAGCCAAGCGGGGAGGACGUGAGCCCUGUCCUCGGCACCAGCACUAG
rnacentral:lncRNA from 1 species